rnacentral:rRNA from 1 species
GCAACGAGCGCAACCCCUAUUGUUAGUUGCCAUCAUUCAGUUGGGCACUCUAGCGAGACUGCCGGUAAUAAACCGGAGGAAGGUGGGGAUGACGUCAAAUCAUCAUGCCCCUUAUGACCUGGGCUACACACGUGCUACAAUGGUUGGUACAACGAGUUGCGAGUCGGUGACGGCGAGCUAAUCUCUUAAAGCCAAUCUCAGUUCGGAUUGUAGGCUGCAACUCGCCUACAUGAAGUCGGAAUCGCUAGUAAUCGCGGAUCAGCACGCCGCGGUCGAAUACGUUCCCGGGCCUU